AUUUUAUUACUUAUUUUUUUUUUUAAAUCAUUGUUUACUAGUAUGAAGCCUUAUUAACAAGCCUUUGUAAAAAGAACAGUUAGCUCAUUUGUUUCUAAG